AAAACACUCACCCAAAAGCAUGUGUCAUCCGGCUGAUUCUCUAUAAUAUCCUGGGUGAAUCAGACAUGUUCCAGCAUUUCUGCUAAAUGUCAUCUCAGAAGAGGGGCAGUCAGGCAAAGGAAAGAGCUAAAGCAUUGACAUGAUGAGGAGGAGAGAAGAGAAAGAAUUCAGAACAUGAAACACGUGGCAGGACCCACAGGUUAAAUGGUCGUUGUUCCAGGAGGUCUUCCACACGCACCUGUGUAGGGCAUGGAGGGAUGAAGGAAGAGCAAGUCCCAUCCCCUGCUUAAGGAACUGAUGGUUUGGCGGGAGAGAAGGGCAAGAUGGUGAAAAUUUGUACAAUGCCACAGAUUAACGCUAACGACUCUGUAACAAAUGCUUCAUAAGGGAAUCGGAAUUGACUGCAGUCCUGGAACAUUGGAGGGCUGUACACAGGAGAGGAUAAAGAAUCUGGCUGUGAGGGUGGGACACAUAAGAAAAGCUCUUCAUCUCCCCCUCAGCCCCAUAGAUGGCUGCCCCGGGUGGGGAGUAAGGGGAAAAGGCUGCCCCUAGGUGGAAUGCUGGAAAGGGCUAGUGGGCCACAGCAGGACCUCUGUCCUAGAGCCCAACACAUAGUGUGCAUGCCCCCAGCCAUGGUCCAGAGAUUCUGAGCAUCAGCAUGACGUGAUAUCCCUUUCUGCCCGCAUGGAUGUCAUCAAGGGACUGGCUGGAAGGUAGCAGAAGCCCAGGAGCCUAGCACACAGAAGGAGAUAGUGACUCUGCCUCAUUUCUGUGUGGGGUUUCCCCCUCUUUUUCCCUCUUAAGAGGGCAAGUUGGACUUUGUGACUUGCUGCUCUGGGCUUACUCCAGGGACAAGAUAAGAAUCUUCCAUUUUUUAGAAAGCAGGCUCAUAGAAGAAAACAGCUGGAUUGUCACAAAAAAAUGGCAUCUAAACAAUGGAGGGAUCUGAAGUUGAAGGCAGGGUGAUUUCUGAGACCAGCGAAGGAUGUAGAGGUGGUGCUUCCACGUGACACCUCAAGAUGGUUAGGACCCCUGAGAGGGGCGGCGCAAGGAUGCUUGGAGACUGAUUCCAAACAUCAAGGUCAUGGCACCCGGAAAGAAGGACUUAUGAAGGUUGCCAGACGAUAGUGUACCCUGUGAGUGCUCAGGAGCCCUGCUUCCUGGCCUAGCAAUACCAUGUGGACUUGGACCAGGAGCAUCUCGGAGCUAACCACAACGGACUGAGACCAACCAGGGCACUUCCUAGAAUGUAUGGAUGUCUUGAUCUCCCCACCCCAUGCCCAUGACUCUUGUAAAACCCUGUAAAAGAGGAGAGGCCCAGUAAAAGCUGAUAUCUGUAUCUAAA